CACUCUAUCGAUUCAAGUCUAGGGUUUAGAAUGGCUCUGUUUUGCUCACCCUGUACAUCCCCCAUUUGCUCAUCCCAAGUCCGUAAACCAUUGGCAAUCGGAUCAUUAUUUGUGUCAAAAUCCCUAAACCAAUAUACAUCCAACCCCAAAUUUUCAAGAAAUUCAUUUUUCAGCCCACCAGUUACCAAAUCAUCUUUACAAAAUCCCCACCUUUGCUUGAGCUCUACCUCCUCAUUGGACCCAGAAGAUAAUGCUUCAUCAAACACAAUAAUCUUCAUAAAAGACAUCAUUUGCUGAACGUGAAAGCUUAUAAACACAGGACUGCCAAAAUCUACAUCUGAGGAAAGCUUGAAGGUUGCAUUUUCCAAAUUCGGGGAUGUACUCCGAGUUAAAAUUUUAAUUGAUAAGAAGACCAAACAACCUUUGUCUUUUGCUAAUGUCUGGUUUUCUAAUGAGGAGUCUGCUGUAUCAGCUGCAGAUGAGAUGGAUGGGAAGUUUUUCAAUGGCAGGUUUAUACGUGUGAACGUUGCAAAGCCAGGAUCAUGCAAAAGUCGUGCUAAGACACCACCUUACAAGUUCUAGUCAAACAAGAAUCCUCCUCGAUCUCUAUUGUAAUCUUUGGGAUCUGUGGAGUUUCGGCAUUUGUAGAUCAUGGGUAUAGCGAACCUGUAACUUUCAGACUAGUAAGCGCGAUAUCUUGUAUGAAGACUUACUGGUUUGAAAAGAUUUUUCCUUAUGCCAAAUGGCAAGCUUUUAGAAGAACUGUGUUAGUUUCUUCAUGGUGAAAGAUUAGUGGCAUUCUGUAUGUUGAAAUUAUGGAUGAUUUGAUCCUUUAUUUAAUGGUCUUGUGGGAUGGAAGUUUCACCUUCAA